rnacentral:rRNA from 1 species
GACGAACGCUGGCGGCGUGCUUAACACAUGCAAGUCGAGCGGUAAGGCCCUUUCGGGGGUACACGAGCGGCGAACGGGUGAGUAACACGUGGGUGACCUGCCCUCAGCUCUGGGAUAAGCCUGGGAAACCGGGUCUAAUACCGGAUAUGACUCCAUGACGCAUGUUGUGGGGUGGAAAGCCUUGUGCGGCUGAGGAUGGGCCCGCGGCCUAUCAGCUUGUUGGUGGGGUGAUGGCCUACCAAGGCGACGACGGGUAGCUGGUCUGAGAGGACGAUCAGCCACACUGGCACUGCGACACGGGCCAGACUCCUACGGGAGGCAGCAGUAAGGAAUAUUGCGCAAUGGGCGAAAGCCUGACGCAGCGACGCCGCGUGGGGGAUGAAGGUCUU